rnacentral:lncRNA from 1 species
CUACAACCUCCUUGGAGAUUGUGGUGAGAAAAAUGCAAUACAUAGUUCAUCUCUGGGCAGCUGCCUUUGAUGAGUGAUUCCAUGCCAGAGAAGGACAGGGAGGACAAUAUGUGGACAUAAAAGGACUCAGCAAGGAGACACUGGAGGGGAGUCCUGAUGAGGAAGACGGAACCACGGACAUCUUCUUGUCACCUUUCUCCAUGGGAUCUGAGCUUGGAGUAUGACUGAGCCUUUGGUGAAACCCUGAGCCACAGCACAUGUUCAGGCAUCUCUGGGGUGCCCUAGGAUCUUGCCCCCAUCCUAUGACCACUCCUAGUUUGGGGUCUAAGCAGUGUCAUGAAGAGGAAGCAAAGAUAGCAAGCACAACAUGAAUGAUUAGUCAAAAUUGGAGUAAAGUCAACAAUGGACUCAUUAAUAACCGUGAUCCCAUAAAGAUUAUAG